UACGUAGGGGGCUAGCGUUGUCCGGAUUUAUUGGGCGUAAAGAGCGUGUAGGCGGCCAGGUAGGUCUGCUGUGAAAACUCGAGGCUCAACCUCGAGACGUCGGCGGAAACCAUCUGGCUAGAGUCCGGAAGAGGAGAGUGGAAUUCCUGGUGUAGCGGUGAAAUGCGCAGAUAUCAGGAGGAACACCGGUGGCGAAGGCGGCAUCCUGGACCGGUAUUGACGCUGAGGAGCGAAAGCCAGGGGAGCAAACGGG
rnacentral:rRNA from 1 species